rnacentral:rRNA from 1 species
GGCGCAAGCCUGAUCCAGCCAUGCCGCGUGAGUGAAGAAGGCCUUCGGGUUGUAAAGCUCUUUCAGCCGAGAAGAAAAGGUUGCGAAUAAUAAUCGCAAUUCAUGACGGUACCGAAAGAAGAAGCACCGGCUAACUACGUGCCAGCAGCCGCGGUAAUACGUAGGGUGCGAGCGUUAAUCGGAAUUACUGGGCGUAAAGGGUGCGCAGGCGGUUUUGUAAGUCAGAUGUGAAAUCCCCGGGCUUAACCUGGGAACUGCGUUUGAAACUACAAAGCUAGAGU